AAAUUGAAGAGUUUGAUCAUGGCUCAGAUUGAACGCUGGCGGCAGGCCUAACACAUGCAAGUCGAACGGUAACAGGAAGCAGCUUGCUGCUUCGCUGACGAGUGGCGGACGGGUGAGUAAUGUCUGGGAAACUGCCCGGUGGAGGGGGAUAACUACUGGAAACGGUAGCUAAUACCGCAUAACGUCGCAAGACCAAAGAGGGGGACCUUCGGGCCUCUUGCCACCGGAUGUGCCCAGAUGGGAUUAGCUUGUUGGUG
rnacentral:rRNA from 1 species